UGCAGUCAUGAUGGGAGCUAGCUUGCUAGAAGAAGUCAUGGCGGACGGGUGAGUAACGUGUAAAGAACUUACCAUAUAGACUGGGAUAACAGAGGGAAACUUCUGAUAAUACUGGAUAAGUUAGUAGUAGCAUUACUAAGUAAUGAAAGGUAGCAAUACGCUAUAUGAGAGCUUUGCAUCCUAUUAGCUAGUUGGUGGGGUAAAAGCCUACCAAGGCGAUGAUAGGUAGCCGGCCUGAGAGGGUGGACGGCCACAAGGGGACUGAGAUACGGCCCUUACUCCUACGGGAGGCAGCAGUGGGGAAUAUUGGACAAUGGAGGCAACUCUGAUCCAGCAAUUCUGUGUGUGUGAAGAAGGUUUUAGGACUGUAAAACACUUUUAGUAGGGAAGAAAGAAAUGACGGUACCUACAGAAGAAGCGACGGCUAAAUACGUGCCAGCAGCCGCGGUAAUACGUAUGUCGCGAGCGUUAUCCGGAAUUAUUGGGCUUAAAGGGCAUCUAGGCGGUUAAACAAGUUGAAGGUGAAAACCUGUGGCUCAACCAUAGGCUUGCCUACAAAACUGUAUAACUAGAGUACUGGAAAGGUGGGUGGAACUACACGAGUAGAGGUGAAAUUCGUAGAUAUGUGUAGGAAUGCCGAUGAUGAAGAUAACUCACUGGACAGCAACUGACGCUGAAGUGCGAAAGCUAGGGGAGCAAACAGGAUUAGAUACCCUGGUAGUCCUAGCUGUAAACGAUGAUCACUGGGUGUGGGGAUUCGAAGUCUCUGUGCCGAAGCAAAAGCGAUAAGUGAUCCGCCUGGGGAGUACGUUCGCAAGAAUGAAACUCAAAGGAAUUGACGGGGACCCGCACAAGUGGUGGAGCAUGUGGU
rnacentral:rRNA from 1 species